rnacentral:rRNA from 1 species
ACUCCUACGGGAGGCAGCAGUGGGGAAUAUUGGACAAUGGGGGAAACCCUGAUCCAGCCAUGCCGCGUGUGUGAAGAAGGCCUUCGGGUUGUAAAAGCACUUUCAGUGGGGAGGAAAGGUUGAUGGUUAAUACCUAUCAGCUGUGACGUACCCACAGAAGAAGCACCGGCUAACUCCGUGCCAGCACGCCGAGUAAUACGGAGGGUGCAAGCGUUAAUCGGAAUUACUGGGCGUAAAGCGUGCGCAGGCGGUCUGUUAAGCGAGAUGUGAAAG